rnacentral:rRNA from 1 species
UUAAGAUACUAAGAGCAUACGGUGGAUGCCUUGGCGAUAUCUGCCGACGAAGGACGUGACAAGCUGCGAAAAGCUGCGGAGAGAUGCAAAUAAUCGGCGACCCGCAGACAUCCGAAUGGAGAAAUCCGGCUGUGAUGAUGCACAGCCAUCCAUGCCCAAGAGCAUGAGAAGGGAACCGGGCGAACUGAAACAUCUAAGUAACCCGAGGAAAAGAAAUCAAACGAGAUACCCCAAGUAGCGGCGAGCGAACAGGGAAGAAGCCCAAACCGGUGAAGGAAACUUUACCGGGGUUGAGGACCAUCAGAACCGCGAAGAACCUUAGCCGAAACUGUUGGGAAACAGUGCCGAAGACAGUGAAAGCCUGGUAGGCGAAAAAGAGAAACGCGGAGAUGGCACCAGAGUACCGCGGGACACGAGAAAUCCCGUGGGAAGCAGGGGGGACCACCCUCCAAGGCAAAACACAGAUAUCGACCGAUAGCGCAUAGUACCAUGAGGGAAAGGUGAAAAGCACCCCGGGAGGGGAAUGAAAGAGAACCUGAAACCGUAUGUUUACAAGCAGUCGGAGACCGCUUAAUAAUAAGGUCGACGGCGUGCCUAUUGAAGAAUGAACCGGCGAGUUACGAAGCCUGGCAAGGUUAAGCAGGAAAUGCGGAGCCGAAGCGAAAGCGAGUCUUAAGAGGGCGCAAGUCAGGAAGCGUAGACCCGAAACCACAGUGAUCUACCCAUGUCCAGGUUGAAACACAGGUAAAAAUGUGUGGAGGACCGAACCUAUAUCCGUUGAAAAGGGUUAGGAUGAGGUGUGGGUAGGGGUGAAAUUCCAAUCGAACGUGGAGAUAGCUGGUUCUCCCCGAAAUAGCUUUAGGGCUAGCCUCAGGGAAAAGAUUGCAGGCGGUAGAGCACUGAUCAGGAGAGGGACCUACCCGGUUACCAAACCCAGUCAAACUCCGAAUGGCUGCAAUCAUACCUGGGAGUCAGACUGCGACUAAUAAGGGCCGUAGUCAAAAGGGAAACAGCCCAGACCAUCAGCUAAGGUCCCCAAUGCCGUGCUAAGUGGCGAAGGAUGUGGCAUUUCAUAAACAACCAGGAUGUUGGCUCAGAAGCAGCCACCAUUUAAAGAGUGCGUAAUAGCUCACUGGUCGAGAGACGCUGCGCCGAAAAUGUCCGGGGCUCAAGCACGGAACCGAAGCUAUGGCAUGAUAGCAAUAUCAUGGGUAGGGGAGCGUUCUUAUAAGGAAGAAGCAUGACCGGAAGGACAUGUGGACAAAUAAGAAGUGAGAAUGCCGGUAUGAGUAUCGAAAAGAAAGGUGAGAAUCCUUUCCACCGAAAGCCCGAGGGUUCCUGAGCAACGAUCGUCGACUCAGGGUAAGUCGGGACCUAAGCCGAGGCGGAAAGCGUAGGCGAUGGACAACAGGUUGAAAUUCCUGUACCGGAUCAAGUCGAUCGAGCGAAGGAGCGACGCAGGAGGGCACAUGAUCGCGCGGCUGGAAGAGCGCGUCCAAGUGCGUAUGUUGCAGCAGAGGAAAACCCCUGCAGCUAAAAGCAGAGACAUGAUGGGGAGUUAAAGGAAACUUUGACGAACUCAUGAAUCCCACACUGCCAAGAAAAACUUCUAGCGAGACAAGAUCCGCCCGUACCGUAAACCGACACAGGUAGGCGGGGAGAGAAUCCUAAGGUGCGCGGGAAAACCCUCGUUAAGGAACUCGGCAAAUUGCAUCCGUAACCUAGGGAGAAGGAUGGCCCCCGGUCAGUGAAGAGCAGAAACGCUCAGAGCUAAAAGGGGCGGCAGAAAAGAGGCCCAAGCAACUGUUUACCAAAAACACAGGUGCCUGCGAAAGCGAAAGCUGAAGUAUAGGUGCUGACGCCUGCCCGGUGCCGGAAGGUUAAGGAGAGAAGUUAGCGAAAGCGAAGCAUCGAACUGAAGCCCCGGUGAACGGCGGCCGUAACUAUAACGGUCCUAAGGUAGCGAAAUUCCUUGUCGGGUAAGUUCCGACCCGCACGAAUGGUGUAAUGAUCUGGGCACUGUCUCAAUUACCCGCCCGGCGAAAUUGUAGUACCGGUGAAGAUGCCGGUUACCCGCGACAAGACG